rnacentral:misc_RNA from 1 species
UGUUGUGGUUUUGUCGCACGGUGUCUCCACCGCGGCGACUCGCUCGCUGCGCCCUGCGCACCGGGUUGGAACAACAUGUGGUCUGCAGCAAGCUGCGCCGGUGACGUACACAUGUCAUGUCCACGACACGUACACGAUACACGCCCCGGAGCACAUCGGUGCAUUCACAAAGUGUAUUCUGCUGUAAUGAUCCUUCCGCAGGUUCACCUACGGAAA